rnacentral:rRNA from 1 species
UACGGAGGAUGCAAGCGUUAUCCGGAAUUAUUGGGCGUAAAGCGUCCGCAGGUGGUUUAUCAAGUCUGCUGUCAAAGCGCGAGGCCUAACUUCGUAAAGGCAGUGGAAACUGAUGGACUUGAGUGUGAUAGGGGCAGAGGGGGGUAGAAUUCCACGUGUAGCAGUGAAAUGCGUAGAGAUGUGGAGGAACACCGAUGGCGAAGGCAGCCCCCUGGGUCAAGAUUGACGCUCAUGCACGAAAGCGUGGGGAGCAAACAGG